CGAAGUGCGCGAGCUCCAAACAGCGUUAGGAUUAGUUGCUGCCGGUGCAGGAAUUUGUAUCGUGCCGAACUCUGUAAGUCGCUUUGGUCGAGACGACGUAGUAUAUAUUCCGCUUGCUGAUANNCCUAUCAUCAUGAGCUAUCGGUCAAAUGACCGAUCAACGUCACUAGCAAUGUUUAGACGGCUGACGAGUCAGAUUCGCCGUGAUGAGAGCUGAGGUAGAGUCCUAGGCCGCCAGUUC
rnacentral:misc_RNA from 1 species